UACGAAGGGGGCUAGCGUUGUUCGGAAUUACUGGGCGUAAAGCGCACGUAGGCGGAUAUUUAAGUCAGGGGUGAAAUCCCAGAGCUCAACUCUGGAACUGCCUUUGAUACUGGGUAUCUGGAGUAUGGAAGAGGUGAGUGGAAUUCCGAGUGUAGAGGUGAAAUUCGUAGAUAUUGGGAAGAACACCGGUGGCGAAGGCGGCUCACUGGCUCAUUUCUGACGCUCAGGCGCGACAGCGUGGGGAUCAAACAGG
rnacentral:rRNA from 1 species